AACAUCGCCUCUUGUCUAACAUAAGAGGUCCAGCCUGCCCAGUGACACAAUUAAACGGCCGCGGUACCCUGACCGUGCGAAGGUAGCAUAAUAACUUGUUCUUUAAAUGGGGACUAGCAUGAACGGCACCACGAGGGCCUCACUGUCUCCUUUUUCUAAUCAGUGAAACUGAUCUCCCCGUGAAGAAGCGGGGAUAUUAUUAUUAGACGAGAAGACCCCAUGGAGCUUUAAACCCAGUAAGCAACCCUAAUCAACACAACCCACCUAAAUUCCUUCUCCCCUGCUUCCUGGUUUUAGGUUGGGGUGACCACGGAGUAAAACAUAUCCUCCAUGACGUACGGGACUAACCCUUAUCCAAGAAUUACCUUUCUAAGAAUCGACAAAUUGACGUUUUAUGAUCCAAUGUUUUGAUCAACGAACCAAGUUACCCUGGGGAUAACAGCGCAAUCCAUUUUGAGAGCCCCUAUCGACGAAUGGGUUUACGACCUCGAUGUUNGGAUCAGGGUACCCNAAGUGGUGCAGCCGCUACUAAUGGUUUGUUUGUUCAACAAUUAAAACCCUACGUGAU
rnacentral:rRNA from 1 species